CGGAUGUACUGGGUUUAAAGGGUGCGUAGGCGGCCUGAUAAGUCAGUGGUGAAAUCUCCCGGCUCAACCGGGAAAUUGCCAUUGAUACUGCAGGUCUUGAAUUAUUGGGAAGUAACUAGAAUAUGUAGUGUAGCGGUGAAAUGCUUAGAGAUUACAUGGAAUACCGAUUGCGAAGGCAGGUUACUACCAAUACAUUGACGCUGAUGGACGAAAGCGUGGGUAGCGAACAGG
rnacentral:rRNA from 1 species